AACGAACGCUGGCGGUAUGCUUUACACAUGCAAGUCGAACGGUUAAGAGCCGUAGCAAUACGGAAUUCUGCUAGUGGCAAACGGGUGAGUAACGCGUGGGAACCUACCUUAUAGUACGGAAUAGCCCCGGGAAACUGGGAUUAAUACCGUAUACGCUCUUCGGAGGAAAGCUUUAUCGCUAUAAGAUGGGCCCGCGUUAGAUUAGCUAGUUGGUGAGGUAAUGGCUCACCAAGGCGACGAUCUAUAGCUGGUUUGAGAGGAUGAUCAGCCACACUGGAACUGAGACACGGUCCAGACUUCUACGGGAGGCAGCAGUGGGGAAUAUUGGACAAUGGGCGAAAGCCUGAUCCAGCAAUACCGCGUGAGUGAUGAAGGCCUUAGGGUUGUAAAACUCUUUCAGUAGGGAAGAUAAUGACGGUACCUACAGAAGAAGCACCGGCUAACUCCGUGCCAGCAGCCGCAGUAA
rnacentral:rRNA from 1 species